GUUAGCCCUUUUGGAUUAUAACAGAAACAGAUCGUAGCAACAGCUAAUUCAUUGCCAUAGGAUAGAGAAGAAGAACAGAGAGAAAUUAGAAAGCCAUGAAAGGUAAGAGAAGGAUAAGUGUUUAUUUCCCACACAACUUAUUUGCUGGUGACGACCUCUUUGUGGGAGAACUAGUACUUCCCUUUGGGACAGGAUUCCACAACUCUAUCAUUUUCAUGAAAGCCGGUAUACUUCUGCUCCGACUUCCACUCUUUGUCCCACUGACUGUGCUCGGACUGCUUGAGCCGAAACUAGUUGGUGCUUUACCAGGUCUAAGAAAAGCGGAU
rnacentral:lncRNA from 1 species